CCGCAUUUCGCCCGACUUGCAUCUUUGUGGUCUUGGCUAAUACUGGUAACAGCUCAAAUUGAGGUUCAAAGAGACAUGGAGGAUGAAGGCAGUGGGAAAAGCAGAGGGAAUGACAUUCAGACUGAAACACAGGGAUCCAAAGCUCCUGACUCAACUUAUUUCCAACAAACCUGCCAGCCAGACAUUCACGCUGUGCUAAGAGGCAUGACAGCUAUGUUGACUGAGCAGAUUACAUUUUUGAAGAGAGAGAUUAAAGUUUAAGCAGCUGCCUUUGAGUCCUUGACAGCCAGGUCAAAUACCACUGAGAGUGAAGUAGAGAUUCUGCACAGAGAGAAUGAAGCACAGGCAAAGAAGCUAAGAGAGUUGGAAGAACGGAAGACUGUGGUGAAUAUGCUGAAGACCGGCCAUGGAGUCAGGAAGGUGGCUUUCUCUGCUUCACUUUUGGGAUCAGGAGCAGCUGGUACCACAGGACCACACAAUGCUGAAGUUAUCCUGGUCUACAGACAAGUCUUCUCGAACAUUGGCAAUGCCUAUAAUUCAAACACAGGUAUGGUACACUGGAAAAAGGCUGUUAGGAGAAUAACCAGUGAUGUCCAUCUACUUGCUGAUGUCAGAAAUUUUUUUAGGAAGAGCUUAAGGCUCAUGGAGCCGGAGCAUAAUAGCACGAUUUAUAAUGAAAUCCUGUUGAUGAUCCAUUCAACAGUUUAACAAUUAAUGUUGACGAUUUUCUAUCAAUACUUUGUGUGCUACAAAAAUACACAGUACAUGGCCUAUGUGUUUAAUGCCAUUUUUGUGGGGUGUUGGGUACUAGUUUCUUUACAGUACCAGUGAAGGGUGUUUACCAGUUCCAGUUCUACCUGGGGGCACAUGGGCACAGCUCAUAUCAUUAAUCUGCUGCCCUGGUUAAAAAUGGACAGCAAGUAUUAAUUGCUUAUACUCACCAUACUUCACCUUAUGGGAAUGCUUCUAAUGGGGUCUCAGUACUGCUGGAGGUGGGAGAUGUGGUCUACCUACGUCUCAGGGUGAAUUCAAGGGUAUUUGACAAUAUAAACCACCACACCACUUUCAGUGGACAUCUGCUGUUCACCAUGUAAAAACAAAAGGAUUAUAGAAGUGAAUUGAAAUGCUUGGAUCUGUUGGUGUAGCAUGAGAAUAUAAUAUAUACAGUGGCUGUCAAAAGAAUUCAUCCACUUCCACAUAUUUUUUGAAACAGUGUUCUUAUUAUGAAUAUGUGCUCAUACACAAUAAUUUCA